ACUCCCGUCCGGAGCGGUGUGCGGGGCUGUCCCCUCUGUCCGCCGCCGUGUUCCGCCUGCCCGGUUCUGUGCCGUUUCUCCCGGAGAGACACCGAGGGGAUAGACCCGAGCGGGCUCAGCAUGUCCCUCCCAGCAAAGAGAUGUGGAAGGCCCCUAGUGUUGUCUUUUCUGGAAAACAAAAAGAGAAAGCGAAGUGUUGAUAGAAGAAGGGGGAAAACAACAAUUUACGUGGGAAAUCACACUGACCGGUAGCUGACGCUCAAGAAGUUGGAUCUCAGAAAUGACACAGAAGUCGCAGGGUUUUUACUGGGUAUGUGAGUAGAUUUUCACGAUAUUCCUGUUUGCUAAUAACAAGUAAAUAAUUCUGAAUGUUGACACCAAUUGCAUUUUUUCUUUCUAGAUAUGACAGCUAACACCUGUUAACAUUUGGAAUUUAACCAAGCUUAUUUAAAAUUCUUUUUCAGGUGUACAUGUAACAAUUACAAAGCUGUCAAAGCAGAUAACAAACAAUAUUUUUUAAGCUAUAUGUCAUUUGCUCUAACAUUGAAAAGUAAUAGCCAAAGUAGUUGAACAGGAGGAAGGUUUGGGGAAUUUGAGAUUCUUUUACUGUUUUAGUAGUUGAAUGAUAGGGAUUAAAAAAUUCCUUUACUGUGUUAAAAAAACAAAUUCUCAUGAUAGAACUGCCCAUGCCAGGGGAUUGGAACAAGAUGAUCUUUAAGGUCCCUUCCAACUCAAACCAUUCUGUGAUUUUAUGAACCAGCUUUCUUGGGAUUUGGUCAUGGACUGUAUCUUUUUUAUUUUUCCUCAGUUCAGUAAAAAUGAAACAGAAUACAAAUCUGAAAUGGACACUCAGGAGUGUCAGAGCAGUUCAGAGAGGAUGGCUGAAGUGUGCAGUGGGAUGAGUUGGUGUCAGUCAAUAACAAAUCUUGAAUUGGGAAGCCUCAAUUUUGUGGGAGGCUUCAGCCUCUCCCUGUCUCUCCUAAUUUGGCCCUGGUAGCUCCUUUUGUAAUGAGUUUUGCUUCACAGCUUUCCUCAGCUGUGAGACUUUGUGAGAUUCUGUGUUGCAGAACUUCUCUUCAUCUUGAGUAAAGUGUUCUCUGAAAAGCCGUGUGAUUGCUGUCCAGCUGGAAAGUGCAAUUCCCUUGGGAAGCAAAUAAAUCAUCUCCAGGGAAGGUCCUGCAAGUGUUAAUGCUACAACUUACCAUGGCAAAGGUGAUCAGCUGAGGAGUUUCUUAGCAAGCAGGAAAGUGUGAGUUAAAUUUAAAAGAAAAAAGGAAAGGAAAAAAAAAAGCCUGAUAAAUAUAACUUGCUUGGCAGAACAGCUUCCUGUUCCCUUCAAACAAAUCAAUUUUCAGUGCCUUGUUUUGACUAGUUGCAGUUUUUAAUUGGCUUAAAAGAUUCUGCGUGUACUGCUUUUGAUCUGUAGUGUUCAUAGUUUGUUUUUAAUUAAAGAAAGGAGAAAAAAAAAGAAAAAAAAAGAAAAACAACCACCCCCACCCCUGUCAAACCACAGUCUGUGGUUGUUUCACUAAUGUGGCUUCAAAGGGACUGCAACACAGCUUUUCCUUACAGACAAUUGAGUGCUUAGUGUCAGACAAAUCAUUUAUUGUAAUGCUGAAUGCUGGUCUUUAUUUCACUAGUAAAACCUCUGUUUGUGUAUCAUAAUACAUAAGCUGUUGGUCUCUUUAUGGGUACUGCACAUAGAAAAGCACAAAUGCACUUACUGUGAUAUUUCCUCUUAUUUCCAGGUUAGGAGAUUUUAUUAAGGGAGUGCACUUCCCUAGACAUAAUGAAACAAUAUAAAUUUAUUUCAUGUUUAAGUGUUUGAAUGUCAUAUUGUAACUGUUAUUACUGUGUUGCUUUUCAGGGUGAGCAGCAAGAAGAAAAUCAAGCUCUUGCAUAACAAUACUGGGGCAAUUUUUGCUCCGUUUUGAUUUUGCUAUGAGGAUCUUGUGAACUGUAAAGAAUUACUGUAAGUUGUGUGAAAUUCUGUGUUGUGUUGAACAGCACAUUAAACUCAAUUACCGAAAGUUUUAUUGUGGUAUGUCAAUGUUUAAGUGUGGAGUGGAUUAUUUCCCUGGAAGAGUCUGUAGAGAGUUCUCUGAGGGGCAACAAAAGAAGACAAGCUAAAGUGCUCAUGGUAUUGCUAAACUUAGUCAGAAUUUGAUAACUUUUUGUAGGUUAUUUUAAUGACUGAGUUCCUUACAUUUUAUUUAAAACUCAGAAGGGUUAAGAUAGAAACAAUAUUCUAGUGUCAGUUGCAGUAUCAAGUGUGCUUCCCUCUGAAUGUGUUUCUUGGAAUGCUUCUCUUUAGGGUACAAAUGUAACAUAUCCCAUGUACUGGAAGGCACAAAUGGAAGGGAAAUGAUGGGUAAAAAUGCUGGACUGUAGAUUGCAUUGGUGCCUUUGAGAAAAUGGGUAAUUGAGAUCAGCUACUGUGGUGCUUAUCUAAAAUCAUCUGUCAUUGAAUCAUUUGAUGUCUGGCUUUGCUUUUGAUAGUACAUGAGCUGAUAAGUGAUGCAUGUUAAUUAUUUUCUUGUGUCACAGAGAUGGAGUAAGAGCAGUACUGGCAGUAACUGAAGUUCUGCAGAACAGUGGUGGCACUGAAUGUUUUGUAGUUACCAAGUGUGAGUAAUCCUGGAGAGGUUUUGAACCAAGAACUUGAGGUUGGUGCAGCAUUCAGGGUAUUCAGUGUUUGGUUAUCAGAAGCACAGAAACUUCCCGUGUUCUGAACUUUUUUUUCUUUAACCACACACUUGCAUAAGCUUUCAGGUCUUGAUCUUACAGUAUUCAAGCCAGCUGGGCUUUCCCACCAGCUUACACUGAACAGCCUCACUGUGGGGAGAAAUUCCCCUAAUUAGAUCAUUCUAGUCUGCAUUCAGUUUUUUAAAUCAGCUACUGCACUGGCUGUGAGAAACUGCUGUUGCUCUUAAAUAUUAUCAUGAGGCUUUUGAAGUAUCUGAAUUCAAUGUUGCUUUAUGAACAAUAGAUUCUACUGAAUGUUGGACAGAUAGAUUUAAAAAAAAAGUUGAGAAGGCAGUUUUUUGAGACUUUCUCAAAAUGAAAAUGCCACUUGUUCUGUAUUUGUGUUUUCUCUUUGCUCUGUACUUUUCAGAUUUUUCUUUGACCAAACAAUGACUCAUGUAAAUAACUCAGUUUAGUUUGGCUCAUGGAAGGAGUGGGACUGGUGGCACCUGUGCUCAGUGAAGCUCUCAGAUUUUCAGUUGUUGGUGUCAUUGCAGUGAGAAGGGAAGAGGACUCAGCCUGCUGUUACAUUUUCCUCCAAAGUCCUCAAGAUCUGAAGAAUCCACAACUGCAUAUUCUCAGCCAGUUCAACCUCAUUCUUGUGCCUUUUAAAAUGCACACUGCAAAUAUUUCUAUUAUUUAAUGACUUGUUGUUAUGCAAAUAGAAUAACACUGCCAGUACCUGAUUUGUUGAGUUGCACUCACUGUGUAAAUUACUGGUAGAAGGAUUAUUCUUGUUCAUAGUACUGAAACAGAGCACAACUCAUCCCUUACUAAGGCUUCCUCCAAACCUCCCAUGACACUGGCACUUCAUGCUGAAGGAAAACCAAGAGAAAGAAGACUUCUAAACAUUUCCCUUUGUAGUGUUACAAUGUGACAGGUGAUGUAUUUGGGUUGCUCUAUGAGCAUACACUUUUGAAUAUCUGACUUCUGUAGAGCAGAAUAUGAUCAUUGCUGUUUUCCAGUAAAGUUGGCAGAAUGGUGAAUGGAAAUGAUUCUGGAACAAGAUUCUUUCUUCUGAUGGAUAUGAUAAACAGUGGCUCUGCUUUAGUCAAAUGGCCAAGUCAGGCUUUCUGCUCCUGUGGGUCUGUAAAAAUUGUGGAAUUUGUCUAUGUUCAGAUGUCAGAACUAAACCCAUAAGAAUUACUUACCCUCUUGUUACAUUGAUACAUUAAAAAUGUGAUUUAGGAGAAUUACUUUAAGCAGAAUCAUAAGUUGUGCUGUUGGCAAUACUCAAUACUUAGGGCAUAAACCUAUAAUGUUGAAUUACAAAUAAAUACAGGAAAUGCAGGAAUAAGGUAUUUGUUGUUCUUUUUUAGGACAGCUUCCAAAAGCCAUGGGCAGAAGAGGAUCUGUGAUGGAAGUGUAGGAAUGCCCUGGUGAAUGUGCAGAGUGUUCUGUGAGAGCCAUUGCAGGGCUGCCAGGGUAGCAGUGCCUCUGCCUUCAUCUUCCAGCUCCCACAGCUGCUGCUGCUCUGCCCUUCUCCUUUCCAGUGUCCCCACAGCCUCUGGCACACUUUGAGUCCGUGUGAUAACCAGGAACUCACCUAAACACACCCUCAGAAGGGUGGGACCUUUGACUUUUCGUUUUUAUUUUUUAUUCCUGUCACUGCUUUCAUGUGGUUUGUUCUGUCACACCAGGGAGGUGCUCUGAGGCUGGGAACCAGUGGCAAGCCCAGGAAAUGACAGCAGCACUGCAAGCUUGGGAUUGAGCUGUGGGCUGAACAUUGAUCUGGGAUGUGAAACACCUUUUCACCUUGUAGGCAUGCAGAAAAGCACUGAGGAAAAAGCUGAUCCAGCUAUUCAGAUUAUUAUGACAAAUUAUUCUGGGAUCUUAGGCAAAUAAUACCUAUUUUUGGUGACAAAUGUAAAGCCUAUUGAGCACUAGAAAUAGGAUAUUAAGGGUUUAACUUAAAAUUAUGAGCUUCCAGAAUGCUGAUUUUAGGAACUUUUUUCUUCAUUUGCCUAUUCUGCCUCAUAUCUUCCUAAUAAUAAAAAAACCAACAACGAGGUGUUAAGAGGAAAAAAAAAAAACUUUGUGAUGAUACUUAGUAGGUGUUUGAAAUUCACUUGUUUCAAAUUUUGAUUACUCUUUGAUAUCAGAUCUUUGUGGUGUAAAAUAGCAAAGGUGAGUUCCAAGCUGCAGGGCAGUAUUGAUGUGUUUAAUUGAUGUGUUUAAUUGGUGAGUUGACACCAGGUGUUCUCAAAGAGUGUGAGUUUUGUUUUUAAAAUUCUGUAUUGGGAAUUGAAAGAAAAAAUAUUUUUAGAUACAAAAAUGUGUCUCUUUUGGAUGUCCAGUGAUCCUCUCUCCUUCCCUGCUUCCAUCCAUCCUAAUCUUGCUUUAUUCAGUUACAGCUGUGAGUGAUGUUUUUCUUCCCUUCUUGUGCACUAAAACCCUGCCUCUGCAAUUACUGCUGCUGUUUUAUUGGGGGAAAAUUGCCUUGCAGUCUUUUCUUACAAAGGAAGAAAAUUAAUGGAAUGAGAUUUUCAGCUGCAUUUACAUCUCUGGGUUUGUGUAAAGACUGAACAGAAUCACAGAUUGAUAAACUGAGGGAAAAAUGUUAUCUGUGGAAGGAAUUGAAGACUGAUUCUGGUGUUAAUUAUAGGGAGCAUGUUCUUACCUGUAUUUGCUUUUUUCUUUAAUCAGAAUGGAGCAGAAAUCAAAGAAUGAGAGUGCAUAAAUCAUGGGACAUUACAGAAACACAUUUUGUUGUACAGGGGCUGUUAGGAGACUUGAAAAGCCUCUGAGGUAGUGGGCUACAGUUGCUGUAUUUGAGUUUUGUCACACUGACACAAACUCAGUUAUUAAUGCUGCCUUCAAAGCUUGGCCAACCUCAGAGGGAGCCAAAACCCCCUGUUAUGGAAUUAAGAAAGAUACCUUUAUAUUGAACAACAUUUCCCUUAAAAGCUGCAGAAAGUAAAACCCACAAAAAGGUCAGGCAGGAAGACCAUCACUGACACCAAACUUGCAAAUAAAAUCAUUUCUGCAGAGCUCUGUACCAGUAUAUGACAAAAAUGGAAUGAUGUGUCACAGGUCAGUUUGCAGAAUUGUGCUUACAUCAAUAAUCUAUCUGAUUGCUGCAAAUAACUUCUUACUAAGUGUUUUCUAGAGAGGAAAACAGCCUUAUUAAGUAAAAUAAAGGCAAUUUGAGUGAAAAGUGCCAUUAGGGAUCUGAUGAGGGAAAAUACAAAUAGUCCCUUGAAACUGAUUAGGAGAAAGUUAAAAAUUCAUUAGAAUCCUGGAGCUGCCAACACACUAAUGAAGUUGUUGGAUUGCUGAGCUUCUCAAGUCAUGCCCAGCACUGACCAGCCCCAGGGCAGGGCCAGCAGUCUGCAGGGCAGGGCUUGUGUAGCUGCUCUAUUUACAGACAGCUUCUAAAUUUAAUAGUAGUUUACAAAUAUAUUUUGGGUUAGAAACUUUAAUGGUGAUGUGUGAAAGUUGACUGAUUUUAUGUUUGUGUCCUUGUGUUUGUGAGCUGCAACCUCCUAAUAUUUCUAAUCUAUUUUAAACUCUCAGUUUCUGGUUUAUUUCUAUCUAAGAAUCCUGUUAGAAGGUGGCUGGAUUUUAUCUGCAAAGCUUUUGCACUCUGCAAGUUUCAGGUGGCACAAACAGCUUGUGAGAAGUCAAAAAAGUC